rnacentral:rRNA from 1 species
UACGUAGGGUCCGAGCGUUGUCCGGAAUUAUUGGGCGUAAAGGGCUCGUAGGCGGUUUGUCGCGUCGGGAGUGAAAACACCGGGCUUAACUCGGUGCUUGCUUUCGAUACGGGCAGACUAGAGGCAUUCAGGGGAGAACGGAAUUCCUGGUGUAGCGGUGAAAUGCGCAGAUAUCAGGAGGAACACCGGUGGCGAAGGCGGUUCUCUGGGAAUGUCCUGACGCUGAGGAGCGAAAGUGUGGGGGAGCGAACAGG